rnacentral:rRNA from 1 species
UACAGAGGUCUCAAGCGUUGUUCGGAUUCAUUGGGCGUAAAGGGUGCGUAGGCGGCGUGGUAAGUCGGGCGUGAAAUCUCGGAGCUUAACUCCGAAACUGCAUUCGAUACUGCCGUGCUUGAGGACUGGAGAGGAGACUGGAAUUUACGGUGUAGCGGUGAAAUGCGUAGAUAUCGUAAGGAAGACCAGUGGCGAAGGCGGGUCUCUGGACAGUUCCUGACGCUGAGGCACGAAGGUCAGGGGAGCAAACGGG